GAUGAAGAACGCAGCGAAAUGCGAUAAGUAAUGUGAACUGCAGAAUUCAGUGAAUCAUCGAAUCUUUGAACGCACAUUGCGCCCGCCAGUAUUCUGGCGGGCUUGCCUGUUCGAGCGUCAUUUCAACCAUCAAGCCCCCGGGCUUGGUGUUGGGGAUCGGCGAGCCUCCGCGCCCGCCGUCCCCUAAAUCUAGUGGCGGUCUCGCUGUAGCUUCCUCUGCGUAGUAGCACACCUCGCACUGGGAAACAGCGCGGCCACGCCGUUAAACCCCCAACUUCUGAACGUUUGACCUCGGAUCAGGUAGGAAUACCCGCUGAACUUAAGCAUAUCAAUAAGCGGAGGA
rnacentral:misc_RNA from 1 species